rnacentral:lncRNA from 1 species
CCCACUCAUCUAAAAUUAAAAAAAGGAAGGAAUAAAAAAUUACAUCAUUAACAAAUAUACAUGUUUUAUAAAAUGGUAAAUUGUCAACAUAUUGUCCGUGUGACCUAAACCGCGAUAUCAUAUUGGCUAUUGGGACAUUAUAAAACUGCAUACAAGAAUUGAGUCAGAACAGUUUAAUAUCGAAAAAUAUUCACAGCAAAGCUAUUAGGAUAUGGUAUAUAUAAGACAUCAUACAGAUAAAACAUAGCCCAAUUACACUGUGUGCAAACUAUUGGCACAUAUUUUGGAUAGGAGAAAGAAGAGUAUUAUUCUCAUGCGACGAAUUGGUAAGUAGGGAUACAUUCAUCACAUGUAAAAUAUGGGCAUUUUGAGAAUCAGAAUAUCUAUUCAAGAAAAAAACAUAUCCCCUUUGAAGUUAAUUGGUCGUUCCUUUAUGCAAGACACGCGUUUUGCCGACAAAAGGCUUAUUAGUGGAGCUCGAAUCACAACAGUUGGAAGAUCAAAUCAAAACGAAGUCGAAGACCGUUGCACAUUGUUAGAAACUGUUCUAAAUAUGUCAUUAUAACUAGAGAUUGUUCGUAUCUUCAAUAACCCUAUGUUAAUCUUAUACUGAUAUCAUCCAACCAAGUUACCAAACGCCAUGACUACAAUAAAUUUGGCUCGUUUAAUUUUCUUAAACUUUGACAAAAUAUUUACGUUGACCCUUUGUCAAAAAUAUAAAAAAAGAAACUUAAUAUUUCCUUCGCAAUAGGACUUGUUUAAAGCGGUACGCUGAUUUGUACAGAGUUAUUCCCCUGUGAUGUUUUUUACCACCUGAAUACGGAUUUCCAAAUAGACAUCAUGUUGUAAAGAAAUACGUUUUUAACUCUCCGUUUUAUUUUUAAUCAUAAGACUUUAAAUAUCGCUUGGUGACACCACAGAUUGAUAACAAAAAAAUUAAAAAAAUGUACAUAUUAAUUUGACAUUUGAAAAGAUUAUAUAUAUGUUAUUAACCUGCAGAAUUAAUAUUAAUUUUUCGACUACGUAGGGUAGAGAAUGACGUGAGAUUGCUGUGAGCCAAUCAAAAUAACGUAUUUUAAUGAUACAUACAUGGCAUGUUAUUAUUAUUAGCUAAUGAAGAACUGAGAUCAAACAAAUACCACAUACAUAUACGCCAUAAUAUGUCCCCAAAAUCCAAAGGUUUGCAUGCCACAAUAAGUUAUGGUAAAAUUUAAGAAGAUCAAAACCUCUUUUUGGACACUGUCAAUUGUACUAUUAUUUAAAUUACUUUUUAUUAAUAUUGUAGAGUGGGCUGCUGAAACAACUCGAGAUAGGAAGGAAGUUCUUUUGAGAUAUGAUCGUGUUUAACUGUGAUUUCUUUAUACUGCAUGUAUACCACGCACAUAACUUAAAGAAAUUUGCAAUUUUGAAUUGAUAUUGGUAUCUACUCGUACUCGUAUUCUAAUCAAACAAAAAGGAGUAACUUUUUGUGUAUAACAGUCCUGUUCCUUUUAAUAUAUAAUUGCAAAAAUGGGAGGAAACUAUACAAAUGUUGAAAUGUCGCUUAACGACUUCAAUGAUGAAGAAACAGCAAAACGAACAUCUGCAAUCGUUUAUUUAUCAGUUGUGAUGGCCUUUGGUAUUCCAGGAAACUUACUAGUGAUUAUUGUGUACUUUGGUUCACACGGGCGACGAGAAGGGACACAUUGGAUGUACAUUCGGGCUUUAGCGGUUACCGACUUACUGGUGUGUUUGGUUGCAAUACCGUUUGAAUUGUUCCAACAAACGCACCAGUUAACAUUUUAUUCUGCAGCAGGAUGUAGUAUCUUCAGAUCAGUAAGCGUACAUUUAUCCUUGACAUCAUCCCUUCUUUUAAUUCCGAUGUCAGGAAAUCGUCUUAGACGGGUAUGUCAACCUCUAAAAUCACAACUAACUAUGAAUCAAGGUUAUAUAACGAUUGCAAUCGUAGUUGGAAUUGCCUUGUUAUUUUGUUGGCCGGAGGGAGCGUUGAGUGGAAUAAGCUUGGAAAAAUUAGAUAACAAUUUAACAGGGUAUGAUUGCAGCUUUUCUGACAGAUUUCGCGGUACAAAUUACACAACGAUAUACAGUACUGUCCUGUUAACAGUUUAUAUUUCUAGUAUGCUUGCACUUGUUAUUAUGUAUUCAAUAGUUGGACGAAAAGUGCUCGAACGAACCAAAUUUCAACAAUCUUUUCGAAGAAAAUAUUCCGUAUCACCGUCGUCUGUUGCCACAGAGACAACCGCAAGUGAAAACCUUACCACCGACACAAUGGAUGAAAAAAGCGAAUGUGAAGAUGAGAAAAAUGCUAUAGACAUAAAUAAAAAUCCAGGAAUAAAUAAAAAUUACAACAAUAAGCAACAUAAAGCAAAGCGUAAGACAGUGUCGGAAAAAAACCCAUCGAAAAAGAUUACGCGGAUUGCAUUUGUCAUUAGCUUCUGCUUUAUACUGAGUUACUUGCCGUACGUAGCAGUAAAACUUAAUGCAUCUGUCAUAAAAGGUCGGUUUGUAAGAACACCCCUUACAAAAGCCAUAUUUCCUAUCCUAGCGAGAACAUUCAUCAUUAAUAAUAUCGUAAAUCCUGUCAUAUACGGAUUUCUCGAUCCGACGUUUUUACAGAAUUGCAAAAUGACAAUAAAACAAAUCAUAUGCAUGAAAUCUCAAAACU